rnacentral:ncRNA from 2 species
CAUAGAUCAACUGGAGAGUGCCCCAGGACCCGCCGCGGUCCACGGGGCCGCCGAAGGUGCAAGCCAUGUCCCAUGCGGGACGUGGCGAAUCUCUCAGGCACAAGGACAGUGGGGCUGCA